rnacentral:rRNA from 1 species
GACGAACGCUGGCGGCGUGCCUAACACAUGCAAGUCGAACGGAAAGGCCCUGAUUUUGUGGGGUGCUCGAGUGGCGAACGGGUGAGUAACACGUGAGUAACCUGCCCUUGACUUUGGGAUAACUUCAGGAAACUGGGGCUAAUACCGGAUAGGAGCCCCUGCUGCAUGGAGGGGGUUGGAAAGUUUCGGCGGGCGGGGAUGGACUCGCGGCUUAUCAGCUUGUUGGUGGGGUAGUGGCUUACCAAGGCUUUGACGGGUAGCCGGCCUGGGAGGGUGACCGGCCACAUUGGGACUAAGGUACGGCCCAGACUCCAACGGGGGGCAGCAGUGGGGAAUAUUGCACAAUGGGCGGAAGCCUGAUGCAGCAACGCCGCGUGCGGGAUGACGGCCUUCGGGUUGUAAACCGCUUUCGCCUGUGACGAAGCGUGAGUGACGGUAAUGGGUAAAGAAGCACCGGCUAACUACGUG